rnacentral:rRNA from 1 species
GACGAACGCUGGCGGCGUGCUUAACACAUGCAAGUCGAACGGAAAGGCCCUGCUUGCAGGGUACUCGAGUGGCGAACGGGUGAGUAACACGUGGGUGAUCUGCCCUGCACUUCGGGAUAAGCCUGGGAAACUGGGUCUAAUACCGGAUAGGAGCCAUUUUUAGUGUGAUGGUUGGAAAGUUUUUUCGGUGUAGGAUGAGCUCGCGGCCUAUCAGCUUGUUGGUGGGGUAAUGGCCUACCAAGGCGGCGACGGGUAGCCGGCCUGAGAGGGUGGACGGCCACAUUGGGACUGAGAUACGGCCCAGACUCCUACGGGAGGCAGCAGUGGGGAAUAUUGCACAAUGGGCGCAAGCCUGAUGCAGCGACGCCGCGUGGGGGAUGACGGCCUUCGGGUUGUAAACUCCUUCCGCUAGGGACGAAGCUUUUUGUGACGGUACCUAGAUAAGAAGCACCGGCUAACUACGUG